CACACUAACUAAUAACUAUAUCUAAAAAUACGAAAAUAUUUAAAAAAAGUGUUUUCGGACAGCUACUAAGGUGCUCUCAUUUCAACUCCGAUUUUCGAUUCAAUGUAAAUUCUCUUAACCUAACUUAAUUAAUUGUCAUUCUGUAUUUUGUUCAUCAACUGUUACUGGUUUUACUUUAUGAUUUUAACUAUUUAUAGAGACCACUAAACAAUGCUUAUUUGAACUGCAUAAGAAUUUAACCUAAAUGCUGUUUUACUGGUUAUUUGGGUGGUUCAAACUAACUUAUUAUAAGGAGGAGAGUGCCUGUGUUUCUUUCUUUACAUGAAUUUUUAAUUUAAAUUGCAGCUUCAUGGUGUUCUCUUCACAUAUGCAUACGUGUUUAUGUAUAAAUCCAAAUUGGGGGAUAGAUGGAUUUGUACUUUAAAUUUGCUUAAGAACUUGGAAUUGAUCUCCUUUUGAGCAGACCUAAUACAUAUUUAGGUAGGAGUUGCAAUCUCCGUUUUAAAAUCUAUAUAUAGAUAUAUGCUUAGGUAUAAUCAGAGUUUGUAAACCGGUUGGUAAAACCGAUGAUACUAUUUCAUGCUUUAUAAUAGACUAACAAAUCUCCUCCAUUGUCACUGUUCUAUUAGUUUCACUUCUACUUAAAAUUCUUUGUUACAUGACGUAAGUGACCUGCUGCUUAUCAAACAUUCAAACAAUAUAUGGUCAGUUCGGCAAACUGCUAAGUAAGGGCCAAAUUUGGUAAGAAGCCAUUACCAAAAGAUGCUGGUGGCAAAAUUGCACAUGCUGCACGAGUUUCAAUUUGCCGGCACAAUGAGCUUGCCUUAAAUAAGGUAAUGUUUUAACGUACAUAUUUGGUUUUUUAGAUAAUCAAAAUAUAUUCAUAUGAAUUCCAAUUGUGGAAAAUUGUUGUUUUGAGUGACCUUUAUAGUCAAAGUAUGACAGGUAAACGAGCUAUAAGCUGAGAUGUGACUUCGUUCACCUCACCGAGCUGUGGAUACAGCUUGCACGUAGGAUUCGUGGCGAGAGGGCUUAGACUAUGACUAUGAUUUGUAACACUAGUAUGUAGAUGUCACCUAAUUUGAUGUUGUUAUGGUGCCAUCUGAUUAUAUAAAACGAAAUUUUCAAAUUUAGUGACGUUAUAUGACUGGGUUGUCAAAUUACUGUUCAUUCUUAU
rnacentral:lncRNA from 1 species